CAUCAAAAUACGCGCGUGUGCUGUCAUUUGGUGUGGGCGCAAGCUAUAUAAAUGAUAUACGAUACCUCGAAGUCGUAAUUGAUAGCACAGAUGGAGAUGUUGAAAGGAGGGUAGAACUAAAACACUCUAUGCGUACUUAUAUACCUGCACACCCACUCCGUAUCCAAAAGUAUAAUAUUAUUUACUGGCACCGGAAUCACGAUUUAAUAGUAUAAGAAUAUCGUUUUCAUCAUCGGGUUUCGAAAUAAAACUUUUAUGAAACGUUCGAGUGGAAAAAUCCAAUGACGAUAAACAAUAUUAUUAAAUUGUAAUUUUUCGUUGAUUAGCAUUAUAAAUAUUCUACACGUAUUAUAAAAGAUUUUCUAAAAUUUAAGUAACCUUGAGCACAGAUUUGUAAAACAUAAUAUAUUAGAUUCUGAUUGGAGUGAAGAUUAUGGUUUUACAAUGACGUUUCAUUUUUAUCUGUGAACAACUUUUCAACUAGAAAUUUUGCUCCAAUUUAAAACAAUGAUAGCACUUUUACUGAAAUGUGUACUUUAACGAGGUGAUUUUUUGAUUUGUUCAAUAUAUUAGAAUUAUCGGAAAAACUUAAUCAAAACUGGAAAAUUUGCGAAAUGUAGGCAGUAGAUAGUUAAUACAAAUUAUGGUAUUUUUAUUUCCUUAUGAAAAACUUUUCUACCAGCAAUUUGGCUCCGAUUUACGAUGAUAACGCUUUGAAAUGAAAUUUGAUUGGAGAGGUACUUUAGGGAGGUCAGUUUUGAAUUUAUCUGGAGUUAUCUCAAUAAAUAGAAAACAUUGAAAAACCAGUAGAAAGGGAAAAUUGAUGUAACCUUAGAAAAAUAUGAUUAAGAAAAAAGUAUUCAACAUAUGAAAUUAUUUUAUCAUAAA